GAGACUCUGUGCGCGUGCAUAUCAAUAAGCGGAGGAAAAGAAACUAACAAGGAUUCCCCUAGUAACGGCGAGUGAAGCGGGAAGAGCUCAAAUUUGAAAUCUUCAAGGUUUGACCUUGACGAAUUGUAGUUUAAAGAAGUGUUUUCGGUUAGAGGAGUAGUAAAAGUUCUUUGGAAUAGGACAUCAUAGAGGGUGAGAAUCCCGUAUUUGACUAUUCUUUCUAGCUUUGUGAUACACUUUCAAAGAGUCGGAUUGUUUGGGAAUGCAGUCCAAAAUGGGUGGUAAAUUUCAUCUAAAGCUAAAUAUUGGCGAGAGACCGAUAGCGAACAAGUACCGUGAGGGAAAGAUGAAAAGAACUUUGAAAAGAGAGUUAAACAGUACGUGAAAUUGUCAAAAGGGAAGCGUUUGACACCAGUGUUGUUUUUCCGAAAAUCAAUUAAAAAUUGAUUCAUGCUAGGUUGUAUUGACCUCAUCAGCUUGCAAUUUAGUUUUGGGUCUCUUUUUGAUGCACCUUUUCGGUUAACAAGUCAACAUCAAUUUCCUUUGCUGUAAAAAGGUAAGAGGAAGGCUGGCUUCAAUUUCGGUUGAAGUGUUUAUAGCCUUUUAUCUCUGCAGUCGGGGAGAUUGAGGUCUGCAGCGUAGAUCCUUCGGGGCUAGAUACAUUUAUGCUAAGUUAUAGCUUUUCAUAGACAACUUGUUGACUAUGUUUAGUCAUGUAGCUUACUCGUAAGUGCUAUUUUACCUACGCUUAGGAUGUUGA
rnacentral:rRNA from 1 species